UAUGCCUACGGGGGGCAGCAGUGAGGAAUAUUGGUCAAUGGACGAGAGUCUGAACCAGCCAAGUAGCGUGAAGGAUGACUGCCCUAUGGGUUGUAAACUUCUUUUAUAUGGGAAUAAAGUGAGCCACGUGUGGCUUUUUGUAUGUACCAUACGAAUAAGGAUCGGCUAACUCCGUGCCAGCAGCCGCGGUAAUACGGAGGAUGCGAGCGUUAUCCGGAUUUAUUGGGUUUAAAGGGUGCGUAGGCGGUCCGUUAAGUCAGCGGUAAAAUUGCGGGGCUCAACCCCGUCGAGCCGUUGAAACUGGC
rnacentral:rRNA from 1 species